AUGGACGAAAGUCUGACCGAGCAACGCCGCGUGAGUGAAGAAGGUUUUCGGAUCGUAAAGCUCUGUUGUAAGUCGAGAACGUGUGUGAGAGUGGAAAGUUCACACAGUGACGGUAGCUUACCAGAAAGGGACGGCUAACUACGUGCCAGCAGCCGCGGUAAUACGUAGGUCCCGAGCGUUGUCCGGAUUUAUUGGGCGUAAAGGGAGCGCAGGCGGUCAGGAAAGUCUGGAGUAAAAGGCUAUGGCUCAACCAUAGUGUGCUCUGGAAACUGUCUGACUUGAGUGCAGAAGGGGAGAGUGGAAUUCCAUGUGUAGCGGUGAAAUGCGUAGAUAUAUGGAGGAACACCAGUGGCGAAAGCGGCUCUCUGGUCUGUCACUGACGCUGAGGCUCGAAAGCGUGGGUAGCGAACAGGAUUAGAUACCCUGGUAGUCCACGCCGUAAACGAUGAGUGCUAGGUGUUAGGCCCUUUCCGGGGCUUAGUGCCGGAGCUAACGCAAUAAGCACUCCGCCUGGGGAGUACGACCGCAAGGUUGAAACUCAAAGGAAUUGACGGGGGCCCGCACAAGCGGUGGAGCAUGUGGUUUAAUUCGAAGCAACGCGAAGAACCUUACCAGGUCUUGACAUCCCGAUGCUAUUCUUAGAGAUAGGAAGUUACUUCGGUACAUCGGAGACAGGUGGUGCAUGGUUGUCGUCAGCUCGUGUCGUGAGAUGU
rnacentral:rRNA from 1 species